rnacentral:tRNA from 1 species
GUUUUAGAAGCUUAUUUAGCAUCGGAUUUUUACUCCGAAGGAAGGGAGAAUCCCCUAAAGUA